rnacentral:rRNA from 1 species
UACGGAGGGUGCGAGCGUUGUCCGGAAUCACUGGGCGUAAAGGGCGCGUAGGCGGCCGCCUAAGUCAGACGGGAAAUCCCUCGGCUCAACCGGGGAACUGCGUCUGAUACUGGGUGGCUUGAAUCCGGGAGAGGGAUGCGGAAUUCCAGGUGUAGCGGUGAAAUGCGUAGAGAUCAGGAGGAACACCCGUGGCGAAGGCGGCCUUCUGGGUCUGCCCUGACGCUGAGGCGCGAAAGCGUGGGGAGCGAACGGG